UAGUAAAGAUUGAGCUGGGUUCUCGUUAUUGGAAUUUCUAGAUCUGGCAGGCAUUUUUCUAGAUUUAAGGAUCCUAGACAAACUCCUUCACGGUUCUGGAGAGUUGAAUAAAUCAAAUGCAAAAAAAAAAAAAGAUGACACGUUUAUGCUUUCAAAAAGUAUAUAUGCUACAUUUAUUUUUUUGGCCUGGACUCUAACCCCAAUUCUGUCUCUCUCAUAAAUCCCAAUCCCCGCACAUUAACUCAGUUUUCGAGGACCUUCGUUAGGUUUGUGGAAGAAAAAUAGUUUAAUAGAAACAAAUAUAAAUCUACAGGUGUCAAAUUCGACCCGUGUUCAUACCAGAUUACGCGCAGCCGUGCUGUUCUUCGAAGACCCCCACGUCUCCGCGCGCGUACCCGCGUGUUUCCACGUGAGACCUCAGAACGACGCUAACAGCCCUGACAAGUGGCUAACGGAUUCACUGAUAUGCGCAUAUGUGUCAAUAAAACAAAGUUAAUCUUAAAUUCAGUCAUGAGAAAAGAUAAAACGAAAGAAAGAAACAUUUGGAAGCAUUUCAUAAAUGCAGGCCUCGAUCAAUAUGGACCAAGAUGACGAUAAAGCCCCCGACUGACCUAAGGCUGCUAGCAUGCAUCGAAUUCAGGGAUAACAAGUGAUCUGCAAACACUAGAUUCCAUCCUGACGUUCCUCUCUUGGACGUGUGACAACCACGAAGGCGACGACGCAGAAGGCACUAGGUAAGGACUUCAUUUUCUAUAAGUUCAUCGCAGUAAGUAUUUCAGCGUUUUAUUGUAAACGACUCGCCGGUAUUCCCUGAAACAUCAAUGCUCGCUCGUACAUCUCCCUGGUAAAUAAUGACCGCUGGCUUUCUGGAGCAGCUGAAUGUGCACGGGGUUAGCCCCAUGCACAAUUUCCAUUUGAAAUAGGAAGACGUGGGUCCUCCGGGAGACACUCAAUUGAAACUAAGGCUGUGCCUGAUGGACCACAGGAUAUGCCUGCAAAUUUAGACGUAUCAAAAUGGCGAAAAAGUCUGUGAGUGCCCAUUCAUAUAAACUGAAUGCCUUGUAAUGUUCUCAGGCCCCUCGGAGUAUAGUUGCAAGGUUGAGGAAAGACUACAGGAAGAGCAGAAUGGGUUUGACAUAACUUUACUUUAGUGCGCUGCGGGCCCUCCCCCCUCCCUGUAGUUUAAUGUUGUAUUCCACUGGGUCCCGGAAGGAAGCAGCCCAGUAAAUCCCCACUGCUCGACUUAAAAAGGAAAUGGCAUCUGAAGACAGGUGAAAAACGGAAAGAUAAAUACAACCAGGCCCCCCUCGCCUUCCCGUCCAGAGAGAGAUCCCCGAGCCACACGAUGUAACAGUGCAUGCCUGGGGUAUAAAUAUAUCAAGAAAACGGACUACAAUGAAUAAAUAAUAUCCAACUCUCUUUUGCAAGUAUAAUGACAUUUUUAACAAAGGGCUUAUGCCGUCACGGAAACCUGAAUUAUUCACACAUGAGAUAGGGGGUGUAUCUUUUUUUUGGAGCCAAUUUGAC